GUUAAGCGACUAAGCGUACACGGUGGAUGCCCUGGCAGUCAGAGGCGAUGAAGGACGUGCUAAUCUGCGAUAAGCGUCGGUAAGGUGAUAUGAACCGUUAUAACCGGCGAUUUCCGAAUGGGGAAACCCAGUGUGUUUCGACACACUAUCAUUAACUGAAUCCAUAGGUUAAUGAGGCGAACCGGGGGAACUGAAACAUCUAAGUACCCCGAGGAAAAGAAAUCAACCGAGAUUCCCCCAGUAGCGGCGAGCGAACGGGGAGCAGCCCAGAGCCUGAAUCAGUGUGUGUGUUAGUGGAAGCGUCUGGAAAGGCGCGCGAUACAGGGUGACAGCCCCGUACACAAAAAUGCACAUGCUGUGAGCUCGAUGAGUAGGGCGGGACACGUGGUAUCCUGUCUGAAUAUGGGGGGACCAUCCUCCAAGGCUAAAUACUCCUGACUGACCGAUAGUGAACCAGUACCGUGAGGGAAAGGCGAAAAGAACCCCGGCGAGGGGAGUGAAAAAGAACCUGAAACCGUGUACGUACAAGCAGUGGGAGCACGCUUAGGCGUGUGACUGCGUACCUUUUGUAUAAUGGGUCAGCGACUUAUAUUCUGUAGCAAGGUUAACCGAAUAGGGGAGCCGAAGGGAAACCGAGUCUUAACUGGGCGUUAAGUUGCAGGGUAUAGACCCGAAACCCGGUGAUCUAGCCAUGGGCAGGUUGAAGGUUGGGUAACACUAACUGGAGGACCGAACCGACUAAUGUUGAAAAAUUAGCGGAUGACUUGUGGCUGGGGGUGAAAGGCCAAUCAAACCGGGAGAUAGCUGGUUCUCCCCGAAAGCUAUUUAGGUAGCGCCUCGUGAAUUCAUCUCCGGGGGUAGAGC
rnacentral:rRNA from 1 species